CCUACGGGAGGCAGCAGUAGGGAAUAUUCCACAAUGAGCGAAAGCCUGAUGGAGCAACGCCGCGUGCGUGAAGAAGGUCUUCGGAUCGUAAAGCCCUGUUAUUAGAGAAGAAAAUGCGUGAGAGUAACUGUUCACGUUUCGACGGUAUCUGCCCAGAAAGCCGCGGCUAACUAUGUGCCAGCAGCCGCGGUAAUACGUAGGGGGCAAGCGUUAUCCGGAGUUAUUGGGCGUAAAGGGAACGCAGGCGGUCUUGUAAGUCUGAUGGGAAAGCCUCAGGCUUAACCGGCGUCCUGCUUUGGAAACUGGCAGACUAGAGUGAAGAAGAGGUGAGUGGAACUCCAUGUGUAGCGGUGAAAUGCGUAGAUAUAUGGAAGAACACCAGUGGCGAAAGCGGCUUUCUGGUCCGAAACUGACGCUGAGGGUCGAAAGCGUGGGGAGCAAACAGGAUUAGAUACCCGAGUAGUC
rnacentral:rRNA from 1 species